AUACUUACCUGGCAGGGGAGAUACCAUAAUGAAGAAGGUGGUUCACCCAGGGCGAGGCUCAACCAUUGCUGUCUGCCUGUGCUGAUCUCUCUCUGUGGGUCUGCAGC
rnacentral:snRNA from 1 species